rnacentral:rRNA from 1 species
UACGGAGGGGGCUAGCGUUGUUCGGAAUGACUGGGCGUAAAGCGCGCGUAGGCGGAUCGGCUAGUUGGGGGUGAAAUCCCGGAGCUCAACUUCGGAACUGCCUUUGAUACAGCACGUCUUGAGUCCGAUAGAGGUGGGUGGAAUUCCUAGUGUAGAGGUGAAAUUCGUAGAUAUUAGGAAGAACACCGGUGGCGAAGGCGGCCCACUGGAUCGGUACUGACGCUGAGGUGCGAAAGCGUGGGGAGCAAACAGG